CCCGCUUGAGACAACCCACUAAAAAAAAACAUGAAUCUCCAUUUGGUCUACAAGACCAUAAUUCAACAUGUGACAUCAUAGUAACAUAAAGGAUGCUGACUUCAAACAAAGGCCAGGUAAACAAUACCACAAGGUUAAAACCAGGCAGCAAGUAUUCAUACUAUUCAUUUCCCUAAAUUACCACCUCCCAAACAUCCAGGGAGUUGAGGCUGGGAGUCCACUCUCUCUGUCCUCCCUGCCCCAUCUCCAUCACAGCAAGAGAAGGGGCCCAUUAAAGUUCACCCACAAGAAGAUUCUAGGACCUUAGGGCAUAUGCAGCAACUGGUUUUUACCUUCCUUUUGGGCUUCUUAGAACAGCAACCAAAAAGCACAGUGGAAAUUGAUGCUGCCUCUUCUCAGUACAGUAACAAUAUAUUUUUGGAGUUGAAGGCCUUUUGCUCCACUUCCACUUUUGACCCACCUGUUCUGCCAUGAAGUUAGAUGCAACUGAAGGAAGCCUUCUUGAUUCUGCAUCCCCCUUCUCCUUGGCUCUAGCCUCUGAUCUGUGCCUGAAACUGCUUCUAGUCUCUUCUACAAGACUCAUCCUACCUCCACCGAUGACCAGAGAUGCUUCUCUCCUGUCAGAGUUUGCACAGCUUGGCGUGUGACACCAUCAAGCCAGCAUCUAAGUAUCCUAGGAUUUAUGGACAAACUGAAACAGAGAUGGAAGCAUGUCCACUAAUGACAGAGGAGAUCUUUGCUGCCCCCAUUAUUCAGGACAAAUGGAUCAGAGGGUUACAAAACAAAGUGUUUUGUGAGGGAUCCAAAAUGUGGAAGAGGAACAAGAGAAUGAGGUCACAGAAAAGGAGAAUGAGGUUGAAGAUAAAGAAGAGGAGGUGGAAGAAGAUAAAGAGAAGCAGGAAGAAAAGAAAAAGAAAAAGGAAGAAGAGGAGGAGGAGGAAGAGAGAGAAAGUAGAGCAAAAUGAGGAGGAAGAAGAGGAAAAGGAAGAAGAGGAGGAGGUGGGGGAAGAAGAACAAGAUGAGGAAGAGGAGGAGGAAGAGGAAAAAGAGGAAGGGGAAGAGGAGGAGGAAGAAGAGGAGGAAGAAGAGGAAGAAGCAGAAAAAGAGAAAGCGGAAGGGGGAAGUAUCCAGCAGAAAGAAGAGUCAGCUUUUGUUUUCCCAAAACUUGUCAGCAGGGACGACUUAACCCAUCCAUCCAGUUGGAUAUCUACCCUACUUUAAAAAGUGCUUCAGUAAAAGGAAAUCUCACAAUAUUUAUUGGUUGAUCUGUGCUACAGUUUAAUAACUCAUAUCUUUUGGUUAAAAAGUUUCAUCUUCCUUGUCCAAAUUAUCUUCCAUGGUUAAGUCCAUCCAUAUCCUUCAGGUCAUGAGAAAGCAGUCCUCAUCCUCCUUAAGCCUGUCCUUUAUAUGGUAAAAGACACAGCAGCCACCAUUCCUCUCCGAGUU
rnacentral:lncRNA from 1 species